rnacentral:tRNA from 1 species
UCUAAUAUGGCAGAAAUUAUGCAAUGAAUUUAAGAUUCAGUUAUAAAGAGCCAUCUUUUAUUAGAA